UUGGAGGGCAAGUCUGGUGCCAGCAGCCGCGGUAAUUCCAGCUCCAAUAGCGUAUAUUAAAGUUGUUGCAGUUAAAAAGCUCGUAGUUGAAUUUCGGGGUCAGUAGGUUGGUCAUGCCACUGGUAUGUACUGGUCUCACUGAUUCCUCCUUCCUGAUGAGCCGUAAUGCCAUUAAUUUGGUGUUGCGAGGAAUCUGGACUGUUACUUUGAAAAAAUUAGAGUGUUUAAAGCAGGCUAACGCUUGAAUACAUUAGCAUGGAAUAAUGAAAUAGGACGUUCGAUCUUAUUUUGUUGGUUUCUAAGAUUGACGUAAUGAUUAAUAGGGAUAGUUGGG
rnacentral:sRNA from 1 species